GAUGCCUUUUGGUAUGAGGAAUGCUCCUGCUACGUUUCAGAGGUUGGUUAACCUUGUCGUGUCUGACCUGCCAGGUUGCAAAGCGUAUCUAGAUGACCUGGUCAUUUACAGCGCUUCUUGGACCGAGCAUGUAAAACAGGUACGUCCGGUGGACUCAAAGGUGGAGGCAGUAAUUACAUUCCCGGCUCCCAAGACCCGUCGAGAGUUGCGGAGAUUCUUGGGCAUGGUAGGUUACUACCGUAGCUUUUGUAAGAAUUUCUCUGCGGUUGUCUCACCAUUAACUGAUAUGCUCAGCACUAAAACAGUUUUUAAGUGGACUGAGAAAUGUCAACGGUCAUUUGAGAACGUGAAGGCCUUGCUGGUCAGCACACCUGUUAUCUCCGCGCCAGAUUUUACGCGCCCAUUUAAGCUUGCUGUGGAUGUAAGUGACUGUGGGGCUGGAGCCGUUCUGGUUCAGGAAGACGCUCACGGUAUUGACCACCCAGUAUGCUACUUUUCUAGGAUGCUCAAUCAACAUCAGCGUUUAUACUCCACAAUAGAAAAGGAAGCCUUGGUUCUUGCAUUACAACAUUUUGAUGUUCAUGUAGGUUCCUCUUUACGCCCUGUUGUGGUACAGACAGAUCAUAACCCACUAGUUUUCCUUAACCGCAUUUGUAAUCAGAAUCAGCGUCUCAUGCGUUGGAGCUUAUUUUUGCAGGCUUAUGAUUUGGAUAUUCGGCAUAUCCGUGGACGUGAUAAUGCUGUUGCUGAUGCAUUGUCCCGGACUUACGAAUGUGACAAUGAAUAGGGAGAUAUUCAUUGUCUUAAGGGUGGGGGUGUUAUGUCCCUGUGUUUUGGGAUGUAUAAUGCUGUUGCUUUUUGGCUGUUUUGGGCUGCGUACUGCUGUGUUUUUGUGUUUCCCCAUACAGGUGGAGGGGAGCAUGCAUUCCAUUGCUGAGAGACACACUUGGACGAAGAGGAUGCAGCAUCUCGUCACGUUGGAGACCGGACCAGAUGCAGCCGUUGCUAAGAAUGCCAGCGGUCGUCACGGAGCAACACAUGCCAAGAAGAAUGCAACUAUAUAGGAGCUGCACGCUGUCAAGAGCGGGACUACGUCAAUUCACAUGCAGCUGGAAGCUACGCCACUUUGACCUCUGCUACCAACACGUUGUCUGUGACUUUAAGAAGAUCUUUAAGAGACCGAACUUAGGAGAAUUUCACCCCGUUGUAGAACAACUUAAGACGGUGAGACUUCCGAAUCACGGACCUUUAAUUAACAAGGAUAUUAUUAGUAUAGGACUCUAUUUAGCUUUGUAAUUAUUAAACAUUCUCUUACUUCUUUAUAA